UACGUAGGGUCCGAGCGUUGUCCGGAAUUACUGGGCGUAAAGAGCUCGUAGGUGGUUUGUCGCGUUGUUCGUGAAAACUCACAGCUCAACUGUGGGCGUGCGGGCGAUACGGGCAGACUUGAGUACUGCAGGGGAGACUGGAAUUCCUGGUGUAGCGGUGGAAUGCGCAGAUAUCAGGAGGAACACCGGUGGCGAAGGCGGUCUCUGGCAGUGAACUGACGCUGAGGAGCGAAGCGUGGGAGCGAACAGG
rnacentral:rRNA from 1 species